GUGCGGAGCCCCUCGGUCGGCUCCUCCUGCUGCCCGCAGAGCGGCUCAGGCUACGGCCGGACGGAGAGAGGAGGGGACAGAAAAAAUCUGUAUCAAAAAAGGUCCAGGAUGAGGGAGCCAAUGAGGGCAAGAUGGAAACACAUAACAGGACACAGAGAAUGAGAAUCCCAGGAGACCCUUAUGUCCCAGAGCCACCUAACCUGCAAUAGUCGG